rnacentral:rRNA from 2 species
CAGGACGAACGCUGGCGGCGUGCCUAAUACAUGCAAGUCGAACGAACUCUGGUAUUGAUUGGUGCUUGCAUCAUGAUUUACAUUUGAGUGAGUGGCGAACUGGUGAGUAACACGUGGGAAACCUGCCCAGAAGCGGGGGAUAACACCUGGAAACAGAUGCUAAUACCGCAUAACAACUUGGACCGCAUGGUCCGAGNUUGAAAGAUGGCUUCGGCUAUCACUUUUGGAUGGUCCCGCGGCGUAUUAGCUAGAUGGUGNGGUAACGGCUCACCAUGGCAAUGAUACGUAGCCGACCUGAGAGGGUAAUCGGCCACAUUGGGACUGAGACACGGCCCAAACUCCUACGGGAGGCAGCAGUAGGGAAUCUUCCACAAUGGACGAAAGUCUGAUGGAGCAACGCCGCGUGAGUGAAGAAGGGUUUCGGCUCGUAAAACUCUGUUGUUAAAGAAGAACAUAUCUGAGAGUAACUGUUCAGGUAUUGACGGUAUUUAACCAGAAAGCCACGGCUAACUACG